rnacentral:rRNA from 1 species
GACGAACGCUGGCGGCGUGCCUAAUACAUGCAAGUAGAACGCUGAAGAGAGGAGCUUGCUCUUCUUGGAUGAGUUGCGAACGGGUGAGUAACGCGUAGGUAACCUGCCUUGUAGCGGGGGAUAACUAUUGGAAACGAUAGCUAAUACCGCAUAACAAUGGAUGACACAUGUCAUUUAUUUGAAAGGGGCAAUUGCUCCACUACAAGAUGGACCUGCGUUGUAUUAGCUAGUAGGUGAGGUAACGGCUCACCUAGGCGACGAUACAUAGCCGACCUGAGAGGGUGAUCGGCCACACUGGGACUGAGACACGGCCCAGACUCCUACGGGAGGCAGCAGUAGGGAAUCUUCGGCAAUGGGGGCAACCCUGACCGAGCAACGCCGCGGGAGUGAAGAAGGUUUUCGGAUCGUAAAGCUCUGUUGUAAGUCAAGAACGAGUGUGAGAGUGGAAAGUUUACACUGUGACGGUAGCUUACCAGAAAGAGACGGCUAACUACGUG